UGGAGGAACCACGCCCAUGACUGUCAAAAAGGGAAAGUCGCUGUGGCGCCGACUGACAGCAGGUUGCUGCAUGACUGGGCUCAGCAUGUCACAGACUGAUUGGAGCUGGAGUGCAGUGUGGAGACGCAGGUCGUUCCUGGCUUCCGGAGAAAGGCAGAUCUGCAGCAGUACGGUGGCCAAGAUCGCUGACUUGGAUAUCAGACAGACCUCACUCAGAAUCCUGUCCCUGUGACCUUGAGAGAGCACCCUAAACCCAGUAAUCAUCCAUCUUCUCAUCUGUUAAGGAGGAACAAGAGGAGAAGCCUCAAGUGAGCUCUAUGUCCAGUGUGGGGCUUGAAUUCACU